rnacentral:rRNA from 1 species
AAUGAACGCUGGCGGCAUGCCUAACACAUGCAAGUCGAACGAAGCCUUCGGGCUUAGUGGCGCACGGGUGCGUAACGCGUGGGAAUCUGCCCUUGGGUUCGGAAUAACAGCGAGAAAUUGCUGCUAAUACCGGAUGAUGACGUAAGUCCAAAGAUUUAUCGCCCAAGGAUGAGCCCGCGUAGGAUUAGCUAGUUGGUGAGGUAAAGGCUCACCAAGGCGACGAUCCUAGCUGGUCUGAGAGGAUGAUCAGCCACACUGGGACUGAGACACGGCCCAGACUCCUACGGGAGGCAGCAGUGGGGAAUAUUGGACAAUGGCGAAAGCCUGAUCCAGCAAUGCCGCGUGAGUGAUGAAGGCCUUAGGGUUGUAAAGCUCUUUUACCCGGGAUGAUAAUGACAGUACCGGGAGAAUAAGCUCCGGCUAACUCCGUGCCAGCCGCCGCCGU